rnacentral:tRNA from 1 species
GGGGAUAUAGCUCAGUUGGUAGAGUGCUUGCCUUGCAUGCACAAGGUCCUGGGUUUAAUCCCCAGCACCACCA